UACGUAGGGUGCAAGCGUUAAUCGGAAUUACUGGGCGUAAAGCGUGCGCAGGCGGUUGUGCAAGACAGAUGUGAAAUCCCCGGGCUUAACCUGGGAACUGCAUUUGUGACUGCACGGCUAGAGUGUGUCAGAGGGGGGUAGAAUUCCACGUGUAGCAGUGAAAUGCGUAGAGAUGCGGAGGAACACCGAUGGCGAAGGCAGCCCCCUGGGCUGACACUGACGCUCAGGCACGAAAGCGUGGGGAGCAAACAGG
rnacentral:rRNA from 1 species